GGCUUUAGAUUAGUCACGCUUGUUAAAGUCACGUGCUCGUGACUGAAUUCACCGCGUUCACGGAGUCUCUCGUCUUAAACAACAAAUAGUGUUUUAGCGACGUAAGUAUUACAUUUCGCUGCUUCAGUAAUUGUAAGUGGAGUUUUUGCAUUUCUUCUGCUAGCUAGAUUAUGGUCAUGGACCGACAUUAUGUCUGUGUAGUCAGCUAAUAACGUUUUGUUUCUCCAAGCGCUUGUAUGUGUAAGUUAAUGUUAUUCUGUUACUUGCGAUUAAUAUAUCAAGAGGAAUAAUCGAAAAUGAUUUCUGUCAUAAAUAAGUUGUCACCCUGACCGUGUACUAAAUAUUUUGUUUUCUUUGUAGCAUUUUAACCUUUUUUGUCUUUGCUGAAUUGCCCAUAAACAAGACCUCUGUAACUUAUGUCUUCAGAUAAAUGAUGAAUUUCAUCGGAUCACAACCCUUCCUUUACACUCCAAAAUUCAUGUUCAAACUGGAUCUGUUCUCUGAUGAUCUGCUAAAAGUGUUUACCAAAAAGGGUGGAGUGUUUAGAAAAAAGAUUCAAGAUGUGAUGCUGCCAAUGUCUCAGACCAAGCAAGAGUGCAUUCUCAAGGGGCUAUGCAUCUACCUGAAUGAAGAUGGAUAUGAUGGAGUAUUUGGAUGAUGACCCUGCAAGAACCGAAGCGGACAUAAAGAAGACCUUUUAGGGAUUCUGUGAUGUAAAGCAUGAAUUUGCUGAUGCAACAGAAGACCCUGAAGAUAUCUGCAUUGUGCUGGAAGAUGUGGAGGUGCUUUCUGGUUUAGGUAAUGUAGCAUUGGCUGCAGCCAUGCUACUUGGACUAAUAUACUCUUUAAAUCUUACUCAUCCACAGGAGAUCCAUUACACUUUUAAGGUGCUCCAAAAAUGAUUCUCGAGCUGAACUUGUGUAUAUUGUCUGCCAAAGCACAGGCGCAGAAAACAAAACUCUUCACUUAGGUGUGCUGUGUUUGAGGAUCCCUUUGUGAAUGCUGUGUUUUAUUUCCUUGUAUGCUCAUGUGAUUUUGUUGUAUCUGAAUUUUUGCACGAUGAGCAGAGGUGAUUACGUCUCUCAAUCACAUUUAAUAUCAUGUUUAAGAAAACAAAAUAAAAUAACAUUUUGUUAUAUUCUUAUA